ACAAAGUUUUAAGAUCUUAAAAAUUCAGAACGACUGACUAUAUGAACUGAAAAACUAGAAAGUACUGUCUAGAUUGAUACCUGUAACAAGCUAGCCUGAGGGCAAUUUAACAAUUGCUUGGAUAGCUGCUUUAUGAGCUUCCAAAACUUCAACCUCUUGGCCUUUCCUCCAUCGUCUUAAUGAACUGAAACAAGAACAUGUAAACAAAAAUGAAAGCUUCAGACAAAGAAGUCCAUUAACACAUCGAUAAAAAGUAUAUGCUCAAGAAAAAAUAUAUAUUGAAUAUCCAUCAAAAAUGGAACUAUCAGAAACGAUAUGCUAUGGGCAAAACUUCAAGGUUUGACAAGUUUUGCAUCAUAGACAACACUUUUGACUUUUGACCUAGAAGGUUUGACCACGAGAUAAGUAGAUGUCAAAAGUUUGACAUGUAUUUAUGGUUUUCUUGAAUGGUAAUUAUUAUAUUCGUAAACGGCAAAAAAGCUGAUGUGGAAUUUGAGUACAAGUCGCAAAAGACAAAAUUAUAGUCCUCUUCUAAUCUUAGAGGAACUAUAUAAAUACCAAUGAAUUUCUGACUUAUUAGCAUAUUCAUUCUUACACGAAAAGUGAAAUAACCAGAUAUAGUCUUAAUCGCGACUAUAAGUAAGCUGCUUAAAUAGCAUUUGUGAUGUAUACACAAUGUAUCUAACAUGAUGUGUAACCCAUCCAUUUCUUUCUAUCUUUGUUCUUUUCACUUUCCCUUUUCCCACACCUCUUUUUAUUGCUUCUCCUGCUAGUCUCCACCAGAAAACAUGUUUCAAGUAGUAAAUAGGUCGCACAAAACUAUCUGAUUUGUAGCCAUCCUGUUUUAACUCUUGCUAUCUUUGUUCUUCUCUAAUCUCUUUUCCCACUACCCCUCUCUAGUGCAUCUCUUGUUGGUCUGCAUUAAAGGAAUCUCUUUUAUUGAAACACAAUGAAUCUCACAUGAUAUAUACUCGUCUAAUAUUAAUAUUGACUCGUAUUAUCUUUGUUUUUCUAUAUUUCCCUUUUUUAUCAAUGAUACACUACCUCUCUCUGCCGCAUCUCUUGCUGGUCUCUGUUCGAAAACAUGUUACCUCAAUCUCUAUUCGCCCCUCUUUAUAUUUGGUUGCUUACUAGUACAACACUUAUUGCGACUAUAAACAGGCUCGUCACUGAAUUUCACUUAUUGCUGUCUUUGCAUAAAUGUCACUUAUUUCACUAAAUUUCAAACCUUGCAAGCCAGAGUCUCCUAACCGACAAAUUUAAGAAAGUUAUAUAUUGUGCAUCACUUCAUUGUCAAUCUUAAAUGUCGGUGCUUUUGUCCAUAAACAAGCAAAGAACAUAUUCUUCCAAGCUAAGAGGUGUUAUUGAAGCGUGCAUAAGAAGCUAGGUAAUGACUCUAAUUCUCCAAAAGCUAACCCUUGGAUUCUCAAAUCUGCUUGUCGAAUUCAAGAUUCCCUCUCACUGGAUUUGACAAGCAGAUUUGAGAACCUGAGGGUUUUGCGUUAGGGGAAUUGGAGCCAAUGCCAAUCUCCUGGUUUCUGAUGCUCGCUUCAGUAACUCCUGUUCCAUCUCAAACCAACUGAGGUUUACAACAAGUAUUAUCAAGAAGAUAAUCCUUCAUAGGCAAAAUAGAAGAUAAAACAAGACAUACACAAUCUCUCCGGGAAUACAGCUUUGUUUUCUGAGGCAGGUGGUGAUCGAAUGCUUGAUGCAGGACGCAGGAAAUCCGGAUUCAGAGCAUAUAUUCAAGGAAAGCAACAAGGUAGAAGAUCAUGAGUAGCAAAUCAUGGAAGUAGUUAGAAGUUUUGAAAGCUUAAUGUUCUAUGAUGUACGCCGGUUUUUGUUUUAUCAUCUUACGGACAUGAUUGUCUCUCCAUACUUGUGUCCCAGACAAAUCAAGCUAUAUGUAACAUAAACUUUAGUAGCAAUGUUGCAUAGAUACUAAUGAAACUUACGAAUUA